rnacentral:rRNA from 1 species
AUGAACGCUAGCGACAGGCCUAACACAUGCAAGUCAGGGGCAGCACAAGGAGCAAUCUGAGGUGGCGACCGGCGCACGGGUGAGUAACACGUAUGCAACCUGCCUGUAAGCGGGGAAUAACCCGUUGAAAGACGGACUAAUACCGCAUAAUACUAAAUUACUGCAUGGUAAUUUAUUUAGACAUUUAUGGCUUACAGAUGGGCAUGCGCAUGAUUAGCUAGUUGGAGAGGUAACGGCUCCCCAAGGCAACGAUCAUUAGGGGUUCUGAGAGGGAGGUCCCCCACACUGGUACUGAGACACGGACCAGACUCCUACGGGAGGCAGCAGUGAGGAAUAUUGGUCAAUGGACGAGAGUCUGAACCAGCCAAGUCGCGUGCAGGAAGAAUGUCCUUAAUGGAUUGUAAACUGCUUUUGCAGGGGAAUAAAGUGCAUCACGUGUGAUGUUUUGUAUGUACUCUGCGAAUAAGGAUCGGCUAACUCCGUGCCAGCAGCUGC